UGGGGAAUUUUCCGCAAUGGGCGCAAGCCUGACGGAGCAAUACCGCGUGAGGGAGGAAGGCUUUUGGGUUGUAAACCUCUUUUCUCAAGGAAGAAGCACUGACGGUACUUGAGGAAUCAGCAUCGGCUAACUCCGUGCCAGCAGCCGCGGUAAUACGGAGGGGGCAAGCGUUGUUCGGAAUUACUGGGCGUAAAGGGCGCGUAGGCGGACGAUCAAGUUAGGGGUGAAAGGCCCGGGCUCAACCUGGGAACUGCCUCUAAAACUGAUAGUCUUGAGUCCGGGAGAGGAUGGCGGAAUUCCUAGUGUAGAGGUGAAAUUCGUAGAUAUUAGGAAGAACACCGGUGGCGAAGGCGGCCAUCUGGUCCGGCACUGACGCUGAGGCGCGAAAGCGUGGGGAGCAAACAGGAUUAGAUACCCCCGUAGUCC
rnacentral:rRNA from 1 species